rnacentral:rRNA from 1 species
CCUACGGUGAGCUGCAGUGAGGAAUAUUGGUCAAUGGACGAAAGUCUGAACCAGCCAUGCCGCGUGCAGGAAGACGGCUCUAUGAGUUGUAAACUGCUUUUGUACAAGGGUAAACCUGAAUACGUGUAUUCAGCUGAAAGUACUGUACGAAUAAGGAUUGGCUAACACCGUGCCCGCAGCCGCGGUAAUACGGAGGAUCCAAGCGUUAUCCGGAUUUAUUGGGUUUAAAGGGUGCGUAGGCGGAUUGAUAAGUUAGAGGUGAAAUGUCCGGGCUCAACUCGGGAACUGCCUCUAAUACUGUUGAUCUAGAGAGGAAAUGCGGUAGGCGGAAUGUAUGGUGUAGCGGUGAAAUGCUUAGAGAUCAUACAGAACACCGAUUGCGAAGGCAGCUUACCAAUCUAUAUCUGACGUUGAGGCACGAAAGCGUGGGGAGCAAACAGGAUUAGAUACCCGAGUAGUC